rnacentral:rRNA from 1 species
UACGGAGGGUGCGAGCGUUGUCCGGAAUUACUGGGCGUAAAGCGUGCGUAGGUGGUGGGUUAAGUCUGUCGUGAAAGCCCCGGGCUCAACCUGGGAAUGGCGAUGGAUACUGGCUCGCUAGAGUGCGGUAGAGGAGAGUGGAAUUCCCGGUGUAGCGGUGAAAUGCGCAGAUAUCGGGAGGAACACCGGUGGCGAAGGCGGUUCUCUGGGCCUGUACUGACGCUGAGGAGCGAAAGCGUGGGGAGCGAACAGG